rnacentral:misc_RNA from 1 species
AAGUCGUAACAAGGUUUCCGUAGGUGAACCUGCGGAAGGAUCAUUACUGAGUACUACCCUCCCUAAAACGGUGGGACCUCACACCCUCUGUCUAUCAUACCUUUUGUUGCUUUGGCAGGCCCGUCUCAGGACCGCCGGCCCUCAGCUGGCCCGCGUCUGCCAGAGGAUCUCAAAACUCUAUUUUUUCAUGUUGUCUGAGUGGUCAUAUAAUCGUUAAAACUUUCAACAACGGAUCUCUUGGUUCUG